AGGAAAAAUCAUCAGCGUUUUAUUAGUGCUACAUCAUUACGGAUGACUUGCAUAAAUCCACUCACUGUACCGUAUUAUAGGUGACAUCUUUUUGUAUUAUAUUAUAUUAUAUUAUAUUAUAUUAUAUUAUAUUAUAUUAUAUUAUAUUAUAUUAUAUUAUAUUAUAUUAUAUUUAUUUUUAUAACAAUAAUUAAAUACAAUAAUUUAUUUCUCUUCUUUAAGUUGGCCUCGCCUCUUGAUCAAAGAUACAGGGGCAUAUCUAGGUUCCAAAACUGAUUUCAAUGACAACCUGGGUUUAAAUGUGUAUUUUCUAAUUGUUCCAACAGUUUUGGGACUUGAUUGUAAACAGGCAGCUUAAUUAAGAUUGAAGCUUCUGCAGUUACAGAUAAUGUUAAGUAGUUCAUGUGUGAUGACAAACACCGGUAUUAAAGGAGUGGUUCAUCAACAUUGCCGAGAUAUUCCUUUAAUGCAUAAUGCAUGUGAAUACAUCUGUGAUGUUGAUCAUUUGAUUCUGAGCAAGCUCAUUCUGCAUAAUGACUACAUUUACCUUUGCUGUGCAUCCACUGAAGUCAAACUUUUACACUCAGUGUCUUUACGGAAGUGAAUGAUCUGAGUACUUCUCUCUCCAUGGCUGGUAAAUAGUGUGGCGCAUUAAACUCUGUAGCAUUCACAUGUAAUGUCCAUGCAACGGUGUGCCUGUGAAAGCUCUAUCAGAUUGGCUUCCUUGUCACCAAAUCAUAUCAUAUCUUGGCUGAUGAAGGGGCGCGCGAGAGUCCGCAAGAAGCCCAGCGACGGCCUUGUUUCGGCCUGCCCAACAGACGACACGCUUGUGCGGACAGGCGGCUCACUGGCUGUUUUUAAAAAUACUCAGUCCAGCUCAAAUAUAGGCACAGUGAUAAAAUGUGAAAACUGCAGCUGCGUUAGACGGGAGGGAACGCGUGCAGGCUGUUGUGACACCUAGGACGAAGGCCAUGUGACAGAUAAACACCCAAGUGACAACAACUCAGCGACAACACACCCCCACGAGGAGUGAGCCGCCGUGCACGCCUGACCGCUGAAGCUCUCAGGGGGUGGUUGGUCCGUGUCAGUGGGGCCAGUCUGGGGGUCCAGGCACCACAAGGGGCCUCGAGAGAUGCCCAGUAAACUUUACUUCCCAUCAUCCUCCUCCUGGAAUAAUUGAUUGGCUAGAUCACAAUGAACAUGGGGGGAGAGGUACAUACUUAUGGUUCCUUCCAGGCCAGUUCCUGUUACUUCACAAUAUCCUACCGCUGUGCUCCUCUACUUUAAAGGCAGCAAGUUAAGAAACCCUCUCUUCUAGUUGCUACAGGUCUUCCAAACCCUACACCACCAGUGCGUCAGCUUCCUAAUAAAGUAUUUGUCCUCUCCAAGCCCAAGGGGAGGCAUUCAACCGAUCUCCCUCAACAAAUGGGAAAAAAGGAUGGGGGAUGGAGGAGGAGGUGACUUGAGGACCUUUCUACAGAAGAGCAACAGACAAGCCACAGAGAUAUACAGCAGAAAGGAAGCAGACCCUCAGCCACAAAAAAUACUGUCAAUCACAGCUGCAUGUGGAUAAAUGGCCCCAUCACUUCCUGUACAUUGAAUGUGCAUUUGGAAAAGAUCUACUCAUGGACAGUAUAAACAGGAGGACUGAUUACAGCAAAUAAAACCUGGGUCAGUGUUCAUGUAGGCUCCUUAUUAUUGUUUGAAGAAAUCGUGAACCCAUCCUUUCACUGCAGGUUGCCAUGAGAAACUGCAUUACAGAGACACGGACAAAGAUAAGGAUAAGAGACGGCUGAGAUGAAGAAGUCUGUGAACUUCACGUCGGCUGGACGCUCGCUUUCUAUGACAGUUAGAGUUACAUAGAUGGCAGAUGCAUCUGGGUGUAAUUUCAUCCAGAACCUUUAGCAAUGUUUAGUCCCUGCUCUGUGGAUAGCUUUGUAAUAUUAAAGAGUUCGAGUGUUAUUUGA